AAGACUCGCCUGGAAGGCGGUGGUUACUUAAACUUUCGUCCAUUGGUUGUAGAAAGGAAACCGAGGCAUGGCUCAGCGAGCCAAGAAGCAGGGUGCAAAUUACUGAGCAACAGAUCCUAAAUGGUUUUGUCUCUGGGUGACCUUGGAAUCUUUUAAAAGACAUUUUCUCUUAAUAAUAUUGCGAAAGAAGUGAGUUACAUGUAAAGAAUCUUACAGUGUCAGUCAUUAACAACACUUUGGAAAUAUGAUUUGCUCUGCUGACUAGUGGUGUUGAUCUGGGACGGGGCGGCUGUCAGCCCUGAGCCCAGGACAGGGCUGGCGCUGAGGGCGUGCCUGUCGAGUGGGACUGGAUCUGUGCGGAUGUCUAAUGAUACUCCCGGAAAUUAUUCUGUCACUUCUGUGUGAUGCAAGAUUUGCCCCAAAGCGUUGGUUGUAUGAAAAUCAUAUAGAGAUAGGAAUCUUUUUGUCCCCCAAACUGUGAGUGGCUUAGUGAGCUGUAACCAUGGUGCGGCUCCCCAUCCUCUAGUCCGGAGUGAGGAGUUCGCGUUGGCGGUGCUCCUGCCUGCAUUUCAUGUGUGCAUGCCUCCCUUGCUUUGUCCGCUCACUCCCUUGUCAUUUAUUUCAUAUCUGUUGGUGUCAAGUUCCAUGAUAGACUUUGGGAAACAGAGACAAAUAAGGCGAGAUUCCUGCUUACGGGGUUGAAACACGGAUUCAGCGUGCUGUGGUUGGAGGGAUGAUUUGUAGCAGCACAUACCAUGUGCUGUGGGCCCACAGGUUAGGAACGAUUAACUCCUGGAGUUUGGCUCCUCAUUGACGGUGUUUUCCAGAGGAGGGACUUGUGAGGCUGCAGCAGAGAGGGUGGAAGGGAGAGAUUCCAGGCUGAGGGGAAAGUGUGUGUAAAGGCAAAGGCGUGCGGGGUGAAUCACGUGGGAGAUUCCCGUUCCAUCGCCCCUCCCCUGGGUGACUUGCAGCCCUGGGAACGGCUUCUUUACCGGCUGUUUGCUCUGCCUGGAAUACCUGCCCCCAAUCCCUGGCCAGCCUCUCUGCUCCUUCUGCAAUCGGGUGUGGGAUUAAAUUGCACGUCUUCCAAGGUGCCUGUCCUGACUGCCUAGUGGAACUAUGAUUUUAACGUCCUGGAGAGUGGAAGUGUUGCGUCCUUUUGUCAUUCUGCUGCCGAAAGACUCACGUCGGAGUGGCCUCAAGAUUCUGAGACUUGUGUCGGUGCCAGAGUUUGGGAGGAUGGUGGGGGUGGCACUGGCUGUUCAGCAGCUGCUGCUGCCACCUGAUACCUGGAACCGUUGCUAUUGAGGAACAUGCAUUUCCUCUUGGUUUCAUGUGAGCUUUGGCUCUGACUUUGAGGAAGAGAGGAAGUAGCGUGUAGUAUCCUUUACUUUCAGAAGAAUAAACUUUGAAAUCUCUGGGCAUCGUGUUGGUUCAGGCAAUGCUGUUGAAAACCAGUGUGGCCUCUACAGGGGGAGGAGAGCCUGUGGGGCUGGGAGCUGGUCCUGAGGUUAAGAGCAGCCAUGGCAUGAAUUUGGCAUUUCACUCGGUGGCAUGAAACCUUAGCUACCUCAUUUUUCAAGUGAGAGUUGAGAGAUUAACACAGCUUAACUUGUAAGAAUUUUCCCGGCAUCAAUGAAAAUCAGUGUGAAAGACCUUUGAAGUUCAGAGGUUCCUAGAGUUGGCCAGUUUUUACUGAUCAAACUACAUACUGGUAUUUGAACAGCACAUCAGUAGUUCCAGCGCUCUGCUGAAUUGGCAACCUCCAGGCAGUUAUUUCAGUGCAACGUUCCUAAUUUAAACCAAGCCUGUUAUUUUUGCUUUAUUUUUCCUUUUAUAGAUAGGUUUACUCAUGGACGUUCUCCAGAGGAGAAAAAUUUUAUGGAAAGUGGAGCUUUGGCUAAAACAGCCAUAAAUGGUCCCACCCACAAAUCCAGGAUGCUUGUUCUCCAUCAGGGAAUAAAAGUGCCUGAGUGAUGUUCUCCUUA